AGGCACGCAUCACUGCUGUUCCCUUUCUUUAGAUUUAGAAGCCUUGUAAUUUGGCUAAAGAAAGGAUAUUUGUGUGCACAUGCUGAAAUGUCUGCAUGACAUGUGCACAUAUCUUUUUGUGUUCCAUUCCAAUUGGAAAACCACAAAGUAUGCACCUUAAGGUUGCACAGAAGUAACCAAAAGCUGUGACAACAGUUUCAUUGAUACAGACAAAGUAUAAGGAAUAAGAUUUAUGACUGAGAACAU
rnacentral:misc_RNA from 1 species